AUUUUUUUUAAAACACAAUUAUAAUAUUAAUUGUGUUUUAAUUAAUUGGGGCGAUUAAAAAAAAUUAUAAACUUUUUAUAAAAAUAAAAUGAUCCACAAAUUGUGAUUUUAUGAAAUAAAUACUCUAGGGAUAACAGGAUAAUAAUUUUAGAUAGAUCAUAUAGAAAAAAUAGUUUGCGACCUCGAUGUUGGAUUAGGAUACUUUUUUAAUGAAGAAGUAAAAAGAAGUUUGUUCAACUUUUAAUAUCCUACUUGAUCUGAGUCCAAACCGG
rnacentral:rRNA from 1 species